rnacentral:lncRNA from 1 species
CAUUCUCUGCUGAUAUAACUGACCAUGACACAUGGCAGUCAAUCGCUUCUCUUCAAUCAAAUUCAGUUGGUCGUAACGACUCUGAAUCCAUUCAGCAUCAGUCAACUAGGGAUUUGAGGGUAUGCUUUUUCUUUUCUUUUUUCUUUUUGAAAUUUUUAUUUUGAUUUUUUUGAUUUUUUUUUUUGAUUUUGUUUUUUUUGAUUUUGUUUUUUU